CAGCCGUUUGCCUCUCUGCUCCCUGUCUCUGUUCUUCUUCCUCUCUCCCUUUCUACCAUCUCUUCUUGUUUUAGUUAUUGAAUCAUUCACCCUACAUCAAAUUGGUAUCAGAGCUAAACUGGAGAAUUCUCACUGCAACAAAAAAAAAUUUUUCCUUCGACCCACUGGGAAAUCCAAAACCGUCAUCACAGAGACUACCACCAACUGUCGAGGUUACAACCUUCCACUGCCAACAAACUAACACGCUACCAUAAACCGAAUAUUAACCAAACCAAAUCCACAACAUCUAACCCAAUACAUCAUCAUACUCCCCACUCCUCAAACCGGCUACUGCGAAAUCAAGAAAAAGAGUCAUCCUCAAACCAAAAAAAUAAAUAAAAUCGGCCGCUUUCUUCAUCCUCACAGG
rnacentral:lncRNA from 1 species